UCCCCUUGGUUUGGGCUGAGGGGGGGGAGGGAAGCAUGAUGCUGCCUUGUUUUGGAGGCAACAGUCAUGCAAACUGUGCCCCAGGAACAGUGUUUUUACCAUGCCUAGGGCACUGUUUUUGGCUUGUGUGGA